UUUUUAUAUGUAAUACUUAUAAUGCUAGUAGAUCAGAUUUUUUUCUUUUUUUAAAGGAAAAAAAGAAAAGAAGAAGGAAAAUAUUUGGAAACGCGUGGGUGGGUGGGCUCUGGUCUGGUCUGGUCUGGUGAGUUGACCUGACCUCGGCCUCCUCCUCUGCUUUCUUUCUUCCGUCGUCGUCGUCUUGGUCUUGAAGCAGAGCAAAUCAAAUCAGAUCAGAUCAGAUCAGAGAGAGCAAGCAAGCAAGCAAGCUGUUGGUCAACAAGGCAAGGGAAGAUCGGAUCCGGUCCCUUUGUUUCUUUCUUUCUUUCUUUCAUUUCCAACCAACAAGGGAAGAUGGGAUCGGUUCGGUUCGAAUCGGAUCAGAUCAGAUCAGAUUGGAUUACUAGUUUGUUUGUUGCCUAGCUGUUGAUUCAUUCCCAUUCAGAUUCAGAUUCAGAUUCAGAUUCGCCCUUCCCUUGUUGUUGAUGCAUUGGAUUUGGAUGGACUCCCCUUCCCAUUCCGAUUCCAACCCCAACUGCGACUCCAACUCCAACUCCAAUCCGCAGCGGCAGCACCAAGAUUGUUGUUGUUGUUGUUGUUGUUGUUGUUGUUGUUGUUGUUGUUGUUGUUGUUGUUGUUGUUGUUGUUAAACCCUAAACCAACAAGAAGAAUAUGUGGAUGUGGAGGAGGAAGAAGAAGAGGAGAACAAGACCAAGCCCUCCACAAGAAGAAGAAAAGGAAAAGGAGGAAAAGUGGUUUGCUUCAAUGACUGCAGCCUCACCCAGGUCCUCGAGUUCCAGCCUAGGUCACUAUGCAUGCUCUCCUUUCCUUUUGAGUAGUACUCUAAACGCUCUUAUAUUAGUUUACGGAGGGAGUAUAAUUUAUUUACUUGCUCUGAAAUUCAUCCGCUCACAAACUCCUAAACUCAAUCCUAAAGCACACUCAACUCACCUGAAAUUCUUUUCUUUUCAUUAUAUGUAAUGUAUGCCUGCCGCACCUUAAUUACUCGGCUUAUCAUGCACACCAAGUUUAUUUAUGCUUGAUUACUUACUCAUAGGUUUACGCUUACUGGUUUAAUCUCAUCAACUGACUCGACUCGAGCGACACAUAACCAUUUCAUUUCCCUAGUUAGUUUACACAAGUUUUUGUUUUUGGCCUGUGUUGUUGUUUGCUAACUGCAAGUGCCUGCCUGCCUGCCCGCGAGGAGUGCCCGACUUUGCACUUGGCUCUGUCUGUGGACCACAAACUAGGGUCUGAUGAUGGAUGAUCAUCAUAUUCAUAUUCAUCCAUCCUCAUAGGUCAUCUCUAGUGACUCCUACAUCUUCCUUCCUUGUGACUUGAAUUAAUCAAUCAAUUAGCUUAUUCCUGCCUGCUAGCUACCACUUUGCUUCAGCUCUUCUAUAUUAUAUUAGGUGUUUGGUGUUUUUCUCUUUCUUUCUUUCUUUUUUAUACAUGCGAAUGCAAAUGCAAAUGCAAAUGCAAGUGUUUUUCAGACUUGUUUCUUGAGAAAAACAAAUGCCAGACUCAGACUGCCCUGAAUUGGUUUUGGUUUUGGUUUUGGUUCCUCCUCAUCGAUCUCCAGUGGCCGCCGUGACGAGGUUCACAGCUCCGCCUAUGGAAUUUUCUUUAUGGCCUGCCGCUCCACUUGUGCCGUCUCUGGGGAUAAUCAUGAGGGAGGGUCAGGGAACCAAGGCUUGAGCUGCCGCAACGCAAAGAACAUGGUGGUGACAAGCCUUAGCCGCCUCAAGCCUGCGGGCAAGGAAGAUGAGGUCCAUGGUGGGAGGGGAGCCCGGCCGAUGAUGUCGGCGGCAGAUGGGGGUCAGUGAGUGAGCAGACCGACGGCCUUAUCCGCAGGAGCCUCGCCCACAGAUGAGAAGGAAGGUGGAUGGAGCUCCUCCAACGCCUCAAGGCCCCUCCAGCAUGCAUGCAUGUUUAUGAAUUCUGAGGAGAGGACGUCAGGAAGGAAAGCCGAGCUAGCGGGAGCCGGCGGCAAGAUUCAUAUAGCAGCAGAGCAGAGUCUUGUCCGCAACAACACUGGAUGCAAUGCCUCUGUCUAUCUAGUCUUAAUUGUGGGCAGGCAGAAAGAAAGCAAGGUGUUGUUGGAUUACCUUACCUUAUCCUUACCACGAGAGAUUUGACAAGAGGGAGCUCAAUGCAUGCAAUGAAGAAUGUCAUCUUGCUUGGCAGCAGAGCAGAGCAGAGUUGCAGCUGGGCCAACACGCUCCAGCAAGCACAUGAUUCCUUCCUUCCUUUUUCUUUUUGUGCUUAUGUGGCAUGUAUGUUACUCCCCCUAUGCAUGCAUGACUAGUCUUAGUCGUGUCAGUCUGCAUGAAGAUUAUUGUAAGCUAGAGACAAGUUGUUCUUCUCCUA